rnacentral:lncRNA from 1 species
UUCAUCUAGUAACAACAAUACUAAUGCUAAAUCUCAUGAUGUUCUUGCUAUUAGUUCUCUUGAUUCCACUAAUGAUUCUCUUAGCCAAGUUACACUUGAGCAAGAAAACAAUUAAUUUAAAGGAAUUAUAGGAAGAGGUGUCUUCAAGAGUCUUGUUGGAAGUAAGCAAUUUGAGGAGAUUGUAUGCAAGCAAGGAGGACAUUGGAAGAAACAAGGAUACUUCAAUGCCAAUGGAGUUGAUUGGGAAUAAAGUCAAUACCCAAACCCGCUGUUUAUUCCCCAAAAGGAGAAGUAUGAUCCUAAUCUCCCCAAGGGAACAAAUGCUCAAGAUGACCUUCCACCACAAGACCAGAAACUCAAGGGCAAGGAUAAGCUUAAAGAGGAGAUAAACUCAUUUGAAGAAGAAUCCCAAGACAUGUUCAAGUGGAUUCCCAAGGCCACCACUAGCUCUAGUUCAUCAAGCACUACCUCAACUCCAAGGAUCCCCAUCAAGUUGAUGUGGGUCCCUAAUAAGAAGAACUAGAGAACUUCUUGAGGGGUGAUUCCUCCAGUGAAAUUUACUCUUAUUAAUUUUGGCAAGGACUAUAUGCAAUCAACUCCAACAACAUGCAUUAGUUCAAGGAGUCACACAUUCCCUCAAAUGUAAGCAAGGGACAAGGUAUUAAUGUAUCAAUGGACAUCACCUCAUAUGUACUAGACUCCAUGUCCAUAGAUAUCCUUGUAUUUGUUCCUUGUAUGGGACUAACCCAUGUAGGUGAGAAGAGUAAUAAACAAAAAGGAUUUCUCCCAACUCAAGAUGAUCUUCAUUAACAAUGAGCAUCCACCACUACUACACCUACAUGAAGUCUUCUACGACAAAACCCAAGGUUAGUUUAUCCCUUUUAAGGGGGAUGUAACAUCAAGGGAGAGCUUUACUCUAAUACUUGAGUUAAAGCAUCUCUUAAGGUGUGUACGCAUUGAAAGCUUUAAAUAAAAGUGGCAACCCCAUUUGUGCUUAAACGAUGAGUAUGACCUAUGAUCAUGUAAUCUUACUUGGAUACUAAGUCAAUAUACUCAUAUAUAGAUAACUUUGUCAUUGCCAAAGUGUUUGGCAGAUACUAGAGUGGUUGUGCAUGUUUGACAUGUUUUAUUUGACAUCUUAUUGUGUGAGCAUGUUGGUAUGCAUAUUUUUCUCAUUCGAGGAUAUCUAAUAGAUGUUAUUUGGGUUUUAUUUUUCUUGGGCCAAUUGGAUAUACAAGAAUGCCUAAGUACCCCUCCCUAGCUAUCUAUGCUUUCUCGUCUCAAUUUCUAUUCAUGCUACACCACAAAAUUU